rnacentral:lncRNA from 1 species
CGUGACAUUACUCCUCCUUCUAGGGACGAGUUCCACGAGGAGCGGUCAUCAUAUGUUGAAGAAAUCUAAGAUGCGACAAAUUGUAUUUGCUACAUAUUCUGAUCUUUAUUCUCUUCGAAGAUAGUUGAUAGGGCCUCUCAACCAUCGAUAGUGUUCCAUACCAUGGCGACAAGACCACCCUAUUAUUUAAUUGCUGUUGAGGCCUUCAUAACUUCCUUCAAAUAUAACAUUUGGAAUACCGUCACGAGUUGUUCCUACCUCUAAUAAAAUAACCAAACAUCC